rnacentral:rRNA from 1 species
GGCGACGAUACAUAGGGGGACUGAGAGGUUAACCCCCCACACUGGUACUGAGACACGGACCAGACUCCUACGGGAGGCAGCAGUGAGGAAUAUUGGUCAAUGGACGCAAGUCUGAACCAGCCAUGCCGCGUGCAGGAUGACGGCUCUAUGAGUUGUAAACUGCUUUUGUACGAGGGUAAACGCAGAUACGUGUAUCUGUCUGAAAGUAUCGUACGAAUAAGGAUCGGCUAACUCCGUGCCAGCAGCCGCGGUAAUACGGAGGAUUCAAGCGUUAUCCGGAUUUAUUGGGUUUAAAGGGUGCGUAGGCGGUUUGAUAAGUUAGAGGUGAAAUUUCGGGGCUCAACCCUGAACGUGCCUCUAAUACUGUUGAGCUAGAGAGUAGUUGCGGUAGGCGGAAUGUAUGGUGUAGCGGUGAAAUGCUUAGAGAUCAUACAGAACACCGAUUGCGAAGGCAGCUUACCAAACUAUAUCUGACGUUGAGGCACGAAAGCGUGGGGAGCAAACAGGAUUAGAUACCCUGGUAGUCCACGCAGUAAACGAUGAUAACUCGUUGUCGGCGAUACACAGUCGGUGACUAAGCGAAAGCGAUAAGUUAUCCACCUGGGGAGUACGUUCGCAAGAAUGAAACUCAAAGGAAUUGACGGGGGCCCGCACAAGCGGAGGAACAUGUGGUUUAAUUCGAUGAUACGCGAGGAACCUUACCCGGGCUUGAAAGUUAGCGACGAUUCUUGAAAGAGGAUUUCCCUUCGGGGCGCGAAACUAGGUGCUGCAUGGUUGUCGUCAGCUCGUGCCGUGAGGUGUCGGGUUAAGUCCCAUAACGAGCGCAACCCCUACCGUUAGUUGCCAUCAGGUCAAGCUGGGCACUCUGGCGGGACUGCCGGUGUAAGCCGAGAGGAAGGUGGGGAUGACGUCAAAUCAGCACGGCCCUUACGUCCGGGGCUACACACGUGUUACAAUGGUAGGUACAGAGGGUAGCUACCCAGCGAUGGGAUGCGAAUCUCGAAAGCCUAUCUCAGUUAGGAUUGGAGGCUGAAACCCGCCUCCAUGAAGUUGGAUUCGCUAGUAAUCGCGCAUCAGCCGUGGCGCGGUGAAUACGUUCCCGGGCCUUGUACACACCGCCCGUCAAGCCAUGGGAGCCGGGGGUGCCUGAAGUUCGUGACCGCAGGGAGCGACCUAGGGCAAAACUGGUGACUGGGGCUAAGUCGUAACAAGGUA